rnacentral:misc_RNA from 1 species
AAGACUAUAGACCUGCGGAGUACCUGCGGAGGGAUCAUUAGUGAACGCCCUCACGGGCUUAUAACUAUUCCAAACCUCUGUGAACCGUGCCCUUCGGGGCUAUUUUACAAACAUGGUGUAAUGAACGUCAUAUAUCAUAACAAAACAAAACUUUCAACAACGGAUCUCU